GUGGGAGGGGGCUUGCCCCCGAUUGCGGCCGGUCAGCAACACAUGUGUCAACUGAUACUCCCACAUCGGGGGCAAGCCCCCUCCCAC
rnacentral:misc_RNA from 1 species